UUGACCUCGGAUCAGGCAGGGAUACCCGCUGAACUUAAGCAUAUCAAUAAGCGGAGGAAAAGAAACCAACAGGGAUUGCCUCAGUAACGGCGAGUGAAGCGGCAACAGCUCAAAUUUGAAAUCUGGCUCUUUUAGGGUCCGAGUUGUAAUUUGUAGGGGAUGCUCCGGCGUCCGCUCCNGUCUAAGUUCCUUGGAACAGGACGUCAUAGANGGUGAGAAUCCCNGUAUGUGAUCGGUUGCCUUGCNAUGUGANCUCCUCGACGANUCGAGUUGUUUGGAAUGCACUCU
rnacentral:rRNA from 1 species